GGGCCCGCACAAGCGGUGGAGCAUGUGGUUUAAUUCGAUGAUACGCGAGGAACCUUACCAGGGCUUAAAUGUAGGUUGCAUGAUCUAGAGAUAGAUCUUUCUUCGGACUACCUACAAGGUGCUGCAUGGUUGUCGUCAGCUCGUGCCGUGAGGUGUCAGGUUAAGUCCUAUAACGAGCGCAACCCCUGUCGUUAGUUACCAGCAAUUAAAGUUGGGUACUCUAGCGAGACUGCCGGUGCAAAACCGUGAGGAAGGUGGGGAUGACGUCAAAUCAUCACGGCCCUUACGUCCUGGGGCUACACACGUGCUACAAUGGCCGGUACAGAGAGCAGCCCACUACGCGAGUAGGAGCG
rnacentral:rRNA from 1 species